CGCCUUGCCAGCCCGCUCAGAACUCAAAGGAAUUGACGGGGGCCCGCACAAGCGGUGGAGCAUGUGGUUUAAUUCGAUGAUACGCGAGGAACCUUACCUGGGCUCAAAUGUAUGUUGACGUAUUCUGAAAGGGAUACUUCUUCGGACAAUAUACAAGGUGCUGCAUGGUUGUCGUCAGCUCGUGCCGUGAGGUGUCGGGUUAAGUCCCAUAACGAGCGCAACCCCUAUCAUUAGUUGCCAUCAGGUCAAGCUGGGGACUCUAAUGAAACUGCCUACGCAAGUAGUGAGGAAGGUGGGGAUGACGUCAAAUCAGCACGGCCUUUACGGCCUGGGCUACACACGUGCUACAAUGGUCGGUACAAAGGGUUGCCAAGCCGCGAGGUGGAGCUAAUCCCAUAAAACCGAUCGUAGUCCGGAUCGCAGUCUGCAACUCGACUGCGUGAAGUCGGAAUCGCUAGUAAUCGUGAAUCAGAAUGUCACGGUGAAUACGUUCCCGGGCCUU
rnacentral:rRNA from 1 species